AAUAUAAAAAACUUGUGAGGUCUAGAUUAGAAGCGCAAAUAUGUGCUUUUAUUACCUAGUUAAUGGGGAAGCCGGUGAAAUUCCGGCACGGUCCCGCCACUGUAAACAGGGAUAUUCUCGAUUUACCACUGUUCUGCGACAAGCAGAAUGGGAAGGUGAGGAUAUUAGCGAACCUGUGAGUCAGGAGACCUGCCUUAUGAGUAGUACGACG
rnacentral:ncRNA from 2 species